UACGGGGGGAGCAAGCGUUGUUCGGAUUUAUUGGGCGUAAAGAGCGUGUAGGCGGCUUUACAGGUCCGUUGUGAAAACUCGAGGCUCAACCUCGAGACGCCGGUGGAAACCGUAAAGCUAGAGUCCGGAAGAGGAGAGUGGAAUUCCUGGUGUAGCGGUGAAAUGCGCAGAUAUCAGGAGGAACACCCGUGGCGAAGGCGGUUGCCUGGAGCUUUGCUGACGCUGAGGCGCGAAAGCGUGGGGAGCGAUCCGG
rnacentral:rRNA from 1 species